CCCUUAGAUGUUCUGGGAUGCACGCGCGUUACACUGAUUCGUUCAACGAGUUUAUGACCUUGCCCGAUGAGGUGGGGGAAUCUUUUCAAAUCGCAUCGUGAUGGGGAUAGAGUAUUGUAACUGUUAGUCUUCAACGAGGAAUUCCUAGUAAGUACGUGUCAUCAGCUCGUACUGAUUAUGUCCCUGCCCUUUGUACACACCGCCCGUCGCUCCUACCGAUUGAGUGCUCAGGUGAAUAGUAUGGACUGCAUCAGUGUUCGGUCUCCGAAUGUUGACGCGAGAAAUUCUGUGAAUCUUAUUGCUUAGAGGAAGGAGAANUCGUANCA
rnacentral:rRNA from 1 species